AGUCUGAGAUUUUUUCUUUUAUUUAUUUAUUUAUUAUUAUUAUUAUUUUAUUUUAUUUUCGUUUUUGUUUUUGUUUUUUUGUUUUUUUUUAAAUAAAGUUUCUUGGAUCUAAUUCUGAUUGACAUGAUGAAAUGCAAUGUAUCUAAUGUUAAAUGACCCAAAAAUGAAUGCAUGCAUGAGGUGUAAAGCGUAUGCUUCCAAGAAAAAUGAAGGGUAAAUUUUGGGGUAUUACACCUGUCCAGCACACCACCGGC
rnacentral:lncRNA from 1 species